CCUCAACUGAUUCUGCUGACUGGUAAGUCCCCUCCCUCUCCCUUUCCUUAAGAACCCCAAUCUUAGCAACAUUCUAACUUCCAUGAUCCAUCCCACUAUCUUGGGCAGCAGUCAUGUUCCCCCUUCCUUAUUGUUCCAGGGGGAAUCUCUUUUUUUCAGCUCUAAAAAAUUGUGUUGUAUUUACUCUUAUUGUUUAAUAUUACUUGUCUGCUAAUUUGUCUAUCAUUUUCCUGUACAUUCUUCUAGCUUGUGUGUUCUCCAUUUGUCCUCAGUGCAGGGUACUUGCCCCUCCCCUAGGGCAAGCCCCAUCCUGCACUGCCGUUUCGGGUUGUUUAUAACCCGUAUCUCCCAAUUUCCCACUGGGUGGGGGAUGAUCCCGGGACCCCAAGGUACCCCCCACCCCCUCCUCACCUCCCCAGCUCAGACAGAGUAGCUUAGCCGCCCAAUGGACGGCUAUUAAUAUAACCGCCACUUAGACCGCCCGCACAUUCGCGGUUCGCUCCCGCGCAUCGCUGCGGCCAUCUUGUGGUUGGAAAAUGUGCCGCUCCUUUCGCCCACAGCCCGGAACGAGUGGCGCGAGCUGAAGCUACCAUAUUAUUUGUGCCAUUUUUGUGAUUUGUGCCUCACUAGUUUGAGCCUUGCCCUAGGUGGAUGUAUAUCUGUAUACAGUGUCGCCAUGGGGGUGAUGUCAGGCACCCUGUCUCACUCUAUCUCAUCCGCUAUCAGGGCAUCCAGCCGAACCCCUGGCUCAGCACCCCCUAUAUCCUCUGAAAGCAAGCCAAUGGUCCCUAGCGGCCGCAAGGCUACAUGCAAAUUGCACUAUCUACCAGGUGCUGCCUCCAAAACCAGUAUGAUGGACAGGUUGCGCCCUGUUGAGUCUGAGGACAUGGUGCUCCCACGUAAAAGAGCCCCCCGCUGGGCAAAAGCGGUGCGGAAUUGGAAGAGGGCAAAAGCACUACCUGAUUCGUCCGACUCUGAUUCGGACUCAGAGGAGGUUUCAGAGGGGUCCGAUACCAUCGACCCGGUCUAUUCAGAUAACUCGUCCCCCGAACGCAGCAAGACUGCACCUCCAGCGAUAGACGCUGAGCAAGAGAUGGAUGAAUCAUUGUUAGAUCCCCAAGGGGAACCCCUCUUUGACCCUGACACCUUGCACAAUCCGUGCUCAGCGGACUGGUACCCCACAACUCAUGUGGCCAUUUACAUGGCGACCAGGGUGAGGAAACCCCUCGACAAGGCCACAAGGAACAAGCUGAGGGCGGAAUUCCCACACCCCACUGUCUUAGACAUGGCCUGCGUGACCCCCGAGGUGGACCCCAAGAUCGCUCAGUUCCUGGGCAAGUCAGGAUGGAAGGCCAAAAGGGGACUGGACUUUUCCCUAAAACAUUGCCAAGACAAGAUCCUAUACAUACUCGGGCCUAUAGCCAAAAUCUUUGACAUGGUCGAAGCAGUCCUUACUGAGGGGACCUCAAUUGAUUUAAUGGCCAUCAAAGGAUGGAUCCAGAGAGGCAUAUGCCUAAUUGGAAAUGCCAAUACCGCUUUGGCCACAGAACAGCGUAAAGCCAUAUUAAUGAUAAUUGAGCCAAAAUUUAUACAUCUGGCAAUCUCCGAGCCUGGCACACAGGCAAAAGGUCUCCUAUUCGGAGACGACUUUGUCAAAACCCUGGGCAAUAAUGUCAGCACAUUCACAGCACUAGAUAAGGCACAACAUAAUAUGAAGUGGGUGUUCUCGCAAAAGGUUUUCAGUGGGGCCGGCAGACAGUGGGGCCGUCUGUCCGGCCGCCACUCCUGGACUUCGUUCCGGGGCUACCGAGGCUCCGCGUACAACAAGGUUCCAUCUGCCCGAACCAAAGGCACAGUCACCGUUCUUCCCGACCAGGGGUAGGUCGUGGCACCCAGGUGGAACCAGGGGAUCCUCCUAUGGCCGUCGGCCUUAUGGUGAGUCAUUUCCCAUUACAGAUCCGUUCCUUAUCACAUGUGGGGGGCAGAUUGUUUCAUUUCCAAGAUCCUUGGCACAAACUAAUCUCAGAUGCUUGGGUCCUAGAGACCAUCCUAAGCUACCACAUCGAAUUCACACAACAACCAAUUCAAUUCUCAUUACCACAUCGGAUUGUUUUUUCCCCACGAGACAAAAAUCUGAUAUCAGAAGAGAUUCGCACACUAGAGGAGAAAGGCGUGAUCUACAAAGUCUCAGCUACCGUCCUAAGCAACAUCUUCCUAGUACCCAAGAAAGGUGGGGUAACGAGACCAGUAAUAAACUUGCGGCCUCUCAACGCCUUUGUCACAUACCAUCACUUCAAGAUGGAAGGGAUACACUGCCUCCGAGACCUGCUAAGACUGGGAGACUGGAUGGUAAAAUAGGUCCUCCAAGAUGCAUACCUCACGAUACCGAUCGCCGAGGAAUGUCACCACCUACUUCAAUUCCAAUGGGAAAACACUAUGUGGCCUUUCCGUUGCCUCCCUUUCGGCCUGUCUUCAGCCCCGUGUUGCUUCACCAAGCUGCUGAAACCGGUAGUCGCUCUUCUUCGCAGCAGAGGUGUAUGUAUGAUCAUAUACCUCGACAACAUGCUGAUCAUGGCCCACGACACCCAGCUAUUGAACCAGCAUCUAUCCUGGGCGUUGAUUCUUCUGCAAAAUCUGGGUUUCCUAAUCAAUUGGGACAAAUCAAUCCUGCAACCUUCCCACUCGAUAGAGUUUCUGGGCUUCGAUAUAGAUGCAAUUCACGGAACGCUCAGUUUACCUACCACGAAGGUAAAACUCAUCAAGAAAGAAAUCCGGAGGACAUUGACACGACCAGUCUUAACCCUCCGACAGGUAGCCAGGAUAAUCGGCCUGCUAUCUGCCUCCAUACAAGCGAUCUUCCCAGGACCUCUCCAUUACAGAUCCCUGCAACAGCUCAAAGCCACCCACCUACGCUUGGGUCAAUCCUAUUCAGAUUCUGUACCUCUAGAAUACGCAGCAAAAGAGGAACUGGCAUGGUGGCUUCAACACAUGGAAGCAUGGAAGGGCAAGGAAUCCAUUAUAGAAUCCAACGCGAGCAGACUUGGAUGGGGUGCUCAUUGUGGUCCCACCUCUACAGGUGGAAAAUGUUCUUCAGAAGAAAAAGAACUCCACAUGAAUGGUUUGGAACUCCUAGCUGGGUCAUUUGCCCUCGGAGCCUCCUCGGACACACAACCAGUUGUUCCAUACUUCUGCGCAUGGACAAUAUCUCGCUACUUCAAUCCCUUGGGUGGCACGAGAUCCUCAAUACUCACGAACCUGGCGAAAGGAUUUUGGCACUUCUGCCUGAGUCGCAACAUAUCAGUACAGGCGGAAUACCUUCCAGGAAUCUCCAACACCGUAGUGGAUUGGAACUCCAGACACUUACGAGACAACAGCGCCUGGCGAUUGAAUCGCACAAUAUUUCAGAAGCUCCACCAACUCUGGGGACCGAUGCACAUUGGACUUUUUGCCUCCCGGCUGAAUGCUCAACUUCCCUCAUUCUUCAGCUGGAGACCGGACCCAGACGCCAUGGCAGUGGACGCCUUCCUACAAAACUGGCCGAACAACAGGCUAUACGCCUUUCCUCUCUUCUCACUCAUAGCGCGAACUCUCCAACACCUACAAUGCUCCCGAGCAUCGUUGGUUUUAAUAACACCAUUCUGGACGGCACAGCCUUGGUUCCCUUCACUCAUGGAAAUGUCUAUCGACCUUCCCAGAUUGACCCCACAAUGCACGGAACUAUUAUCAGACCCCGAUGGGAACUCUCACCCACUUCUAGUGCAAGGCCACCUCAGACUUCUAGCAUAGCUCCUCUCAGGGGACCCUGGACCAUGCCGAAUGUUUCACAAACAACUUUGGACUUAUUGGCAGGAGCUUGGGCCCCAGGAACAAGACGAUCCUAUACUCAUGCCUGGAACACAUGGUGUAGUUGGUGCGUGGAACAACACGUGGAUCCCCUACGUGCUCCUGUAAAUCAGGUCCUGGGUUUCCUUACUACCCUAUAUGAUCAAGGCUUGGCUUACCGCACCAUAAACAUCUAUAGAUCAUCGAUUUCAGCUGGGCACAACGGAUGGGAGGGUUACACUUAUUGGUCUGUUGUCUUCUACGAGGCAUAAAAUUUGCACGUCCACCACAACCCCACUACACGGCCUUAUCGGAUCUUAAUAUGGUCCUUCGUUUGUUGGAAGACUGACCUCCAAACUCGGAUCUCACACUCAAACAAGUGUCCGCAAAAUUAGCUAUGCUCCUGUGCUUAAUUUCCUGCAAAAGGGUAUCAGACGUUCGAGCCCUGGAUAUCGAUGCAUGGUCCUUCACCCCACAUGGCAUGGUGUCCUGUUUAAUAUCACCAGACGUACGAAGUCUAAAAUCACGUCAGUCUUCUAUCCCUCCUUUCCUCACAAUGCUAACCUGUGCCCAGUUGGCAUGCCUGCGGGAAUACAAACUGCGGACCCAGUCAUUCCGGAACCCAACAACACACGACCUGUUCUUGGCAGUGAGGAAACCUCAUCAGUAUCCACGGGAACUCUUGCACGCUGGGUGAAAUGGAUAAUGUCAGCUGCUAACAUCGACACAUCAGUUUACGAAGCGCAUUCUACUAGGGGCGCUAUGGCCUCUAAAGCAUUCUCCAUUGGUUGUAAAUUGGAAGACCUCCUCCGCAUAGCUGAUUGGUCCCGAGAAUCGACGUUCAAAGAAAACUAUUUUUGUCCAACAGAACAUAUCUCGUCUAUGGUCAUCUCACAGCUUUAAACUAGCCUAAUAUGAGCUAUACAUGUGCAAUUAGUUUCGGGCCGAAUAUGUAUUCGGACGAAUUUCUGGAAAUUCGGACAUUCGGGUACUUCCAAAUGUCCGAAGUGCCGAAUUACCGAGGUCCCGAAGUUCCGAAAUUACCGAAUUUCCAAAGUGUCGAAGUUCUGAAGCAUAGUUUUGCCUAAGUAUUAAUAUACUUACCCAGUGGAAGAAGAAUAAUGUUACACUGUAUACAAUUGUAAAUAAAAAGUAUACAAACAUAGCCAGGAUUCAGCUGUAAGCAUUUGCAACACUUACAACAAUCAAGUAACAUACAUUCAUAUAAAAUGUAAGUUACUAUGACAGGAAUGAAUAAGUAGAUAACUCCCUAAUUCCCACGGUAUUAGGGAGCUAUCUACUAAAAGGCUGAAAGACCUAAAUUGGUCUUUCAGACAAAUUUACUAAUACUAAGUAAAGAUUACUUACCGCAAGUAGGGGCAUGUCUAUUAAACAGUGAGCAGCAUAAGGCUGCUCACUGUAAAAAAAAAAAAAAAAAUGUCCCCCCUCCCCCUCCUAACCUAAUGUCCUCCUACCUUUCCCCCACCCCUCAGCGGUGGGUGGGGGCCCUAAAUACUAAUUGGGGGGGACCUAAUGUCCUCCCCCCUGCCCCCACCCCUAAGCGGUGGGUGGGGGCCCUAAAUUAGAAUGAGGGGGGGAGGACCUAAUGUCCUCCCCCUGACCCCCAGCCCUGAGCCUGUUUUUUUUUUAUUUUAUUUUUUAAUUCCGUUGGGUAUUAUGGCUUUUUAUUUGGCCUUUUUAAGGCUGAAAAAAGAAGAUUUUAGAAGAAAGAAAACAUCAAAAGGUAAGUUUAUUUGUAUUUUUUUACAGGUACUUAGUUAAAUGGUCCCCCCUCAUUAUUUUUAGUGUGAGGGGGGUAGGUAGGGGUUAAUUCUUUGGGGGAGGGGGUGACUAGGGAUUUGCGGGAGGCGGGGUUAUUUUUUAUGUAGGGGUGGGGGCCAGGGGGAAGGACAUUAGGUCUCCCCCCCCUAAUUAGUAUUUAGGGCCCCCACCCUCAUUCUAAUUUAGGGCCCCCACCCACUGCUCAGGGGUGGGGGCCAGGGGGGAGGAUAUUAGGUCCCCCUCCCUAAUUAGUAUUUAGGGCCCCCACCCACCACUCAGGGGUGGGGGCCAGAGGGGAGGACAUUAGGUCCCCCCCUAAUUAGUAUUUAGGGUCCCCACCCACCGCUCAGGGGUGGGGGCCAGGGGGGAGGACAUUAGGUCCUCCCCCCUCAUUCUAAGUUAGGGCCCCCACCCACUGCUCAGGGGUGGGGGCCAGAGGGGAGGACAUUAGGUUCCCCCCCCAUUAGUAUUUAGGGCCCCCACCCACCACUCAGGGGUGGGGGCCAGGGGGGAGGACAUUAGGUCCUCGACCCUCAUUUUUUAACAGUGAGAUGCUCCUACUCGCGGUAUAGCGAGUAGGGGCACAAUUUACUAAUACUAAGUAAUUUUUACUUAGUAUUAGUAAAUUUGGCUGAAAGACCAAUUUAGGUCUUUCAGCCUUUUGGUAGAUAACUCCCUAAUACCAUGGGAAUUAGGGAGUUAUCUACCAAGCGGCUGCAAUAGAAAUUCAGAAGUUCCGAAGUCCCGAAUUUCGGCAUGCCGAACUGAACCGGAAAAUUUUCCUUGAGCCUCCGUGUCCUUUAAUAAAAUUACCAGAUUUUACUAAUUACAUGACGUAAAGUCAUGAUUUUAUUAAGGACACCGAGGCGAGUAUUAGCCCGCCCAAUGAUAGGUAAGCCAUACAUGUAUCUUCCCACCCAAUUGCUUAUAAACAGGUAGGAGUGAUUUGGAUGUUCAGAUGCAGUGUUAUAUACUAAUAAUAAUAAUUUUAAUUUUGAAUUUGCUGGACUUAAGAAAAAUGUUUCAGAUAUGAACGCUUUUUAAAAAACUUGUACAGCUUAUAUGCAUGACAACGAUAUUUGAAUAUAUUUUACCAUAUAUCUCUCUGUCUCUUACAGCUUAACCCUGUGAUGGAAUAACCGGGAUCAUCCUCUAUCUCCUAACUAUACCGGAAGACUCCCCGGAACCCUCUACCGGAGAUUACCCAAGUUUAAGAAUUUUUCCCGUCGAUGUGUUCAGCUUCGGCAUCAGCUAGAAAGAGGGAGUGGCUUAGGUCACAUGAGGGGACAUAGUCCAAGGACUGGUCCCAUUGGUUAAUAUAUCUG